UACGUAGGGUGCGAGCGUUGUCCGGAAUUAUUGGGCGUAAAGAGCUCGUAGGCGGCCUGUCGCGUCGGUUGUGAAAGCCCGGGGCUUAACCCCGGGUCUGCAGUCGAUACGGGCAGGCUAGAGUUCGGUAGGGGAGAUCGGAAUUCCUGGUGUAGCGGUGAAAUGCGCAGAUAUCAGGAGGAACACCGGUGGCGAAGGCGGAUCUCUGGGCCUUACCUGACGCUGAGGCGCGAAAGCUAGGGGAGCGAACAGG
rnacentral:rRNA from 1 species